GCCCGCUGAGCGAGGGCCCUAAUGAGAAGGGAAGGUCGCGUGGACAGGCUGCCAGGGGCAAGCGUUUUUAGAUUCCUUCCUCCUUCUUGGCCCCAGAUGCACUUGGUUGCACGCUCUGGUUCCCAAGCCCCCGGCCGCUGGCUUAUGCAAAUCACUUAGGUACAUGCAAAACUAUCCCUUCUCCCGGAGCGCCAUUGGCCCGGGGAGGUCGCGAGCUCAUUACUAUGCAGAAAGGAGAGCCGCCAUUGGCCAAGGGUAGGACCAGAGGGGCGUGUUUCUCGGGCAAAUUGGAUCUCCUAAAUUGGAUGACCUGGAAAGUAGAACUUCCCUCCAGCGUUCAGUUAAGUUUCAAAUGACUCUCCGCUGUUCCAAAGGGCGAGGACGUCUGGAGCUCUGCAAACGGAAAAAAGAUUUUGAAGAGGAGGAAAAAAGUUUCCCUCGAUGUGACACACAUCUUUGGGUUUUAGCUAUACACUAAGUUAAAAGUGUACCCUCUCCAGUGCCUCACUUCACCUGGGAUCUUUACACCUAUCUUGAUACACAUUUGGUAGCUAAGUCUUAGCAAUUCAUUCUCCCCAGUCCUCUCUCUGUAUUUGGUGAUUUUGGUGACUGCAAAUCAGACUCCUUUCUCACUCACUGUAAAAUCCUGAAACUAGGAAUUUUGUAAAAGGUCAGAGAAAGUGAUGUUUCUGAACACUGGACAAUUUCCAAAACAUCUGAGUGGGAGGUGACUACGGCUCAGAAGCCAGCAGCAACGUUGGUGUUAGGGCUGGAAGACAACUUAAAGACCCCCAGAAAACUCUGGUUUUAUAGAUAAGAAAUCUGAGGCUCGAGAGAGAAUGUGUUCUGCCCAACAUCAUCACGGAACAGCUCCUGGGCUCCUGGCUCCUAAUCUGAGCACACAGGACUUGUUCACUGAUGGAUAAGCUGGACUUCGGUUCUAACACCCCUUUACCCAAGAACUCUUGUAAACAUAGAACCUGAACAAGUAUAUGCAGAAGCCCUACCCGUUGGGUGAACGGUUCAAGGUGCCCUGUUACAACAACAACAGCUCAGAGACAGUGGGGGCUCUGAGUGCUGCAAUGAUUGACUGGAUAAAAGUCCUCAAACAUAUAGAAUUUCACUUUUUAUGAACUAUUUCGACUUAGAAAAAGAGUUAAUAGCAAUCAGCUUAAGAAAUGUUACAAAUGUAGUUGAAGUUCCCUUUGUACCACUCCGCAAUCAUAUUCCUUUUCUUCCUCUCCCUGAGAAGUAAGCACUUUCCUAAACUUUGUAGUUAAUUCCCAUGCAUAUUUUCAUGCUUUUCAUAUGCAUGUAUCCCUAAACAAUAAACAGCAUUGUUUUUCAUAUAU
rnacentral:antisense_RNA from 1 species